AGAAUUGUGGAAAGUCAGGGUACGUGAAGAAAGAUUGCUAGGUUAAAGGAGUUGAUGGUAAAUCUGAUUCAAGCAACUUCUAGGGUAGUGUAGCUAAAGCAGAUGCUAAGUCGGCUACUUCGGAGGAUGGAGAUGCAUUAAUUACAUUGGAUAGAUUUGAAUUUAUUUAUCAUUAGAUCUUGGAUUUUGGGUUAUUAGAUCUUAGAUUUUGGGGCGUUGUUCCACAUGACUCCCUAUGGGGAGUUGUUUCAUACUUACAAGUCAUGGGAUGAUCAAGUUAUCUAUUUGGAUGAAAACAUGAUAUAUCCGAUGGUUGGAAUGGGAGACGUUCAAAUCAAGAUGUUCGAUGGUGUUAUUCGGACGAUUUCUAAUGUUUGAUGGUGUAAGCAAGAGGCUAAGUUCAUCGGUGAGAAGGAUCACUUGAAGGUAUGUCAAGGAUGUUUGGUGUUGAUGAAGGGAGAGCAAGUAAGUGGCCCUUAUAGAUUGGUAAAUGAGACUCAAGUGAGAGAAGCGGUUGUCACAACUGCAAAGGUAGAGUCUCUGAUGGUUUGGCAUCGCGGUCUGGGACACAUGAGUGAGCACGGAUUGCAUGUAUUAUCUAACUAUGAACUUCUUCUAGAUUACAAGUCUAUGCAAUUGGAUUUCUAUUUAAGAUUGCAUCUACGGGAAGCAACAGAGGUUGCUGUUCUCUUUAUCACAUCAAAGAACUAAGAAGAAUCUCGAGUUCAUUCGGAUAUUUGGGAGUCGCCUAAUACUUGCUGGGUGGAUGUUCUUAAUUUGUCCUCUAUUGAUGAUUACUCUCGGAAAGGCUUGGGUACAUAUCCUAAAGCGUUUAAGAAGUUCAAAACUCUUGUGGAUAAUGAAAAGAGUUUAAAAGAACAAGUGUCUAUGUUCUGAUAAUGAAAUGGAAUACUGUUCAAGAAAAUUUGACGAGUUUUGUAAUGAGUACGGAAUUAAGCGGCACCUCACGGUACCCGGUAUACCGUAAUAAAACGGUAUAGCAGAGAGGAUAAAUAGAAAACUCAUGGAGAGAAUUUGGAGCAUGUUGUGUACCUCAAAACUAGAUAAGAGAUUUUGAGUGGAAGCCGUGAGCAUGUCUUGUUAUUUAAUCAAGCAAGCGCCGACAAAUUCGCUUGGUUUGGAAAUUUGUGAAGAAGUUUAGAGUGGCAAGUGACUACUUCUAUUUUCGUGUCUUUGGAUGUGACACUUAUGCAUGGAUACCAAAGGAGAAGAGGUUAAAAUUUGAUAAGAACUAUUAGAGGUGCAUAUUUCUCGGCUAUGCAAAAGGAGUUAAGGGGUAUCAAUUAUGAGGCUACAGUACCCACAAGAUUGUCAUAAGCUAUGAUAUUGUCUUGAAUGAAGGGUCCUUUCAAGGUAUAAAGGAAAAGCAAGAUGAUAAUCCUAUGGUUCCAAUUGAGCUCUUUGAAGCACGCGAUAAGGUGUAAGUUGAGCAAGUGCAGCAAGAUGAUGAGAUUGUUGAUGAUGAAUCACACUUGGAGUCUUUGCAAUUAUCCGAAGAUAUAAAUUCACCGAUGGAGCCACCAGCAAAUUCCAGUCAUCUUAGGAAGGUCACUAGACCUCGUGUGAGUUAUAAUGACUAUAGCACUUCAUUUAUUCCUUCUGCUAACUAUGUUAGUACAUAUGUUGCCUUGGUAGAGGAAGAUAAGCCGGCUUCAUAUAAGGAGGCUUGGGAGUUGAUCAUUGUUGGGAAGUGGCAAUGUGUGAUGGAGGAGAAGAUAGAGUCACUUCGGAAGAACAGAACUUGAGAGCUUGUUGAUUUGAAGAGAAGGAACAUGAUUGGAUACCGAUGGAUGUUUAAGGCGAAGAAGGAUGUGGAUGGGAAUAUGGAGAGGUUUAAGGGAGGUUAGUGAUGAAGAGACAUGUUCAGAAGUCGAGAAUUGACUUCGAUGAGAUAUUCUCAUUGGUGGUUUAUCUUACCACUAUGGGUUGUCCUGGCAAUCACAAUAGUCUUGGAUUUAGAGCUCAAUUAGAUGGUUGUAUAGGUGACCUCUUGCACGGUGACCUAGAGAAAGAGAUAUGUAUGUAGGAAUCGAAAGGCUUUGUCGAAAAAAGCAAGAAGCAUUUGAUUUGUUGGUUGAACAAAUUAUUAUACGGCUUGAAACAGACACCAAGGUGCCAGUAGAAAUGAUUUGAUUCUUUUAUGGGCAAACUUCAAAUACCACCUCUAUGGUUUCGUACUUUUUCACUUUAGUACCCUACGAUUUAAAAUGUAUCAAUUUAGUACCCUGUGUUUUCAGUUUUCUCUUUUCAUUUGCUCAUCUGUUAACAUUUCGUUAAAUUAUAUACAAAAAACUUUAGAUACCCCAUCUAAGUUUAUCGAAUAUUCACUUUAAUACUGUUUAGUUUUAACUUUGUCACUGAUUUAAUGAAAAAAUCUGACGAAAAGAGAAAAAUGAAACCACAGGGUACUAAAUUGAUACACUUUAAACUACAGGGUAUUAAAUUGAGAAAGUGCGAAACCACAGGGGUGGUAUUUGAAGUUUGCCCUUCUUUUAUUGUGAGUUUGGAUUUUGAUAGGCAUGAGGCGGAUCAUUGUGCAUAUUUUUCUUGUUAUGAUGACAGGAGCUUCAAUAUUUUUCCAUUGUAUGUCGACGUAUAGUGGUCAAGGGAAUAGCAAGAGCUGGGUAUCUACCCUCAAGACUUAGUUGGCCGAGAAGCUCGAUAUGAAGAACUUAGGAGUCGUGAACCAAAUAUUCGGAAUGAAGGUACUAUAGGAGCGAAAGCAUAGAAAGGUUUGGCUUUCACAAAAGAGUUAUGUGGAGAAGGUUCUAUGACACUUUAAUAUGCAGAACACAAAGUCAGUUUCUACCCUAUUUUCUAUUCAUUUAAAAUUGUCGGCAGAGCAAUCACCCAAUACGAAAGCAGAAAAGGCCGACAUGGCUCGGGUACCAUAUUCAUUGGCAGUGGGGAGCCUUAUGUUUGCCAUGGUGUGCACUAGACCCUACAUUGCUCAAGCAGUGGGAGUAGUGAGUCGGUAUAUAACAAAAUCGAAUUGUGAAUAUUGGAAUGUAGUGAAGUGGAUCCUCAACUAUUUGAGGGACACUACUGAUUUCUUACUCUAUUAUGGUUCUGAGGAUUUGGAGUGUGUCGAAUAUGUAGUGUUCCUGAGGUUUGGAUAGGAUUGGCUACAGUAUUAGUGGCUGGUCGACAUCACAGGAGAGUGUCGGACUGAGUCGGAGUCGUUUCUGUACGAAUUGGAUGCAGAAAUGGACUCGGUGCACUCAAUUAAGCAAAACUGGAGUUUUGCCAGAUUUGGGCGCCGAGAACACGGUUUAGGUCGCCCAGAACUGAGUGCUGAAUUUAACUGAAACUGGAAGCCAAUUCAGAUCUUAUGUUCCGGGCGCCCAGAAGUGGGUCCGGAAAUUUUACAUCGUGAAUAUCGUUUGUGUUGACACGUGGCUGGUGGUAGGUGAGGUCCACUGGAGCCGUUUACGGGCAUAGUGCACCGCGGGUGGAGAAUCCGAAGUAGAACAAUUGUGUAGCUUGGAGGAUUCGGGCGCCCAUAAUGUGGGUCCGGGCGCCCGGAAGUGCCCGUUUCCGCAGGGACAUCAGAUUGCAGCAGUUGUUCUCGGGGCUUAUCCUACCCUUCCUGCACCCUAUAAAUAGUUGAGAGGGACCUUGGUGAGCUCUUUUCUCAAUUUCUUCACAGUGAACUCAGAAUUCCUCUCUCAAUCCUUCAAAUCUUCGCAAAUUGCUUCAUAAUCCACAACUCCAAGCUUGCUAGGUGCUGAUUCUGCAGUUCUUCAGCAAUGACCUCCAGUGUUUUGGCUCGUGUGCGGCGUAGGAAGGUCGGAUCGCGGUGAAACUUGGUUUGUUAGAUUCUAGACUUCCAGAGGAAUCCACGAAGCCCUGGAUUGCAGAUUUUGGUUGAGGUUAGCUUAGUCGAUUCCAUGCUUUUCUAGACUGCUGUUACUUUGAAGCUGAAUUUGAGUUUUAGUGGUUUUUUCAAUGCAAUUCUUGGAUGGAACAGGAUUUUUGGACCUGAGAUUUGUGCUCCAUCCUUAUUCACUGGAUUUGGAAUUUGUCUCACCCGAAAUUAGAGAUUAUUAUGUGAGUUUUGUCAUUGGAGUUGAGAUAAUUAAGCUUAAGUGCUAAAAUUUUGGUGAAUUGAUGGAUUUUGGUCUUUUUUGGUACUUGAACCUUGAUGUAGCUUUGUUGCUGGACUUGAGAGUGUUUCGGUUGAGCCAGCAGGUUUUCCGCAGCUAAGAGAGUUCUUUGCUGCCAGGGAUUAGCUCUUGAAGUGUGUUUUCAUCGGUGUUACUCCUAAGCCGUAUUACUCGACAUGUGUGAUUUCAGCUUUUGGUAGAUCAUGUGUUAGCUCAAUUUCUUGAUUAAAUCAUGUAUAAAAUGAGAAUUGAGAGCAUGAUUAAUAAUUCGUUAAAUAUGCAUGUUGGACUUGGAACUUGACUUAGGAGAAAACCAGCGUUUUGACCCGUCAUAUGAUUCUACUACCUGAUUUAGCUCUAGGAGCCGUGGUUUGAUUGUAUCACCGCUGUUUCAGCGCAGUGGAUAUCCGGGGUAGUUUAGAAUGCAUUUACGCUCGUGCUGGGAUGCCGAGCUUAUUUUUACAGCAGAGUUUAGGCUGUUUCGGGUUGUCGGGUGCCGUCAGGGUGGACGGUGGAUCCAGAUUCUUAUUUUUGGUAUCAGAUUGUGCCGAGGGCACGUGGGUUCGGUUUCUAGACCGGUUUUGACCCUAACUACUUAUCUUUAGCUGAUUAGAGCCUGAUUGAGCUCGACAGAGAUACACUUGCAUACUCGAUUGGGUAGCGCCCACGAGUGCCACUCCGGAGUCGAGCUUAGUGCAUUUGCGUUUGUGUCGUUCGUGCAGGUUGGACUUGCUCUCCACGGACUUGUUAGUAUGGAGGUAGCUGAUUAGUUGUAACCUGGCGGGAUGGGUGUGUUCACAGUCCCAGGGAUGGGUAUGAUUACAGUCCCUAUUCAAGAUUGGGUCUGUGUUGACACUGUUCUACAGUUGGUUAGAUUAGAGCAUGAUAGUAUAGAGGCAGAUAGUUGUAGAUAUGUUCCAGCUUUCUUUAUUAUUUCUUGCUUACCCCUGUAGAUUUAGUGGGUGGACCGAUGAGUUUGAGGGCAGUACCCACUGAGGACUACUUGUUUUUACAGUAGUUCUCACGCCCAGUUUGUUUCCACUAUUUUGUAGAGUCAUCGUCUUCGGCUGCUGCUGUCGCUAAUUUUGAUCAUGGCAAGGGCGUCGCGAGUUAUAGCCCUUCCAGUCGAGUUGCUGAGCUAGUGGAGGACCGCUGCAGGUAGUGUAGUUUUGGUUUAUACAUACAGAUGUUGUACUCUCGCCAGUGCGAGUGCUUUUGUAUCUUGGAUCUUAUGUAUGUAUAGAACCACAGUUUAUAUAUUUAUGGUUUAUUUUCUCCUAGCUGCUCUAUACUACUGUCUGUAGUAUUGUAUGAUUACAUGUACUUUUACUUUUCGCUUCGUAUACAGAGAAAAUAGCUAUAUAUACUGCGGGUCUGUUAGCGAACCCGGGAAAACGAGUAAUCCGGGGCGUGACAGAUUAAAUUGGUAUCAGAGUUUAGCUGUAGGUCGUUGGGA
rnacentral:lncRNA from 1 species